rnacentral:lncRNA from 1 species
AUAUAUAUCUUUCACCUAUGUAACUAGUAAACAAUCAAAUAAUAAUAACCAGCAUAAUCUUCAUACAUUAAAUACAUGGAACUUCUUGGAAAUGAGUUUUUAAUUUUUUUUUUUUAAGGGUUUGGGGUGUUUUGGAAUUAUGGUAAAGUGGUAAUGGUAUUUUUGGAAGUUACUAAGAGAAAACAGGAAUGGGAAUCGUAUCGACUACUCCCCCCUAGUUGAUCUGAUACCUAAUUUUGAGGGGAUGUAAUUACAGAUUUUGAGGUGGGGCCCACUUAUUUUUUCAUUCAUAAUUGCAAGUAAACGCAGGGGAAGUCGGGAAUGGAAAUCAUUCCCUUUCCU